rnacentral:rRNA from 1 species
UACGUAGGGGGCGAGCGUUGUCCGGAUUUAUUGGGCGUAAAGAGCUCGUAGGCGGUUCGGUAAGUCGGAUGUGAAAUCUCCACGCUCAACGUGGAGGGGCCAUUCGAUACUGCCGUGACUCGAGUCCGGUAGGGGAGUGUGGAAUUCCCGGUGUAGCGGUGAAAUGCGCAGAGAUCGGGAGGAACGCCCGUAGCGAAGGCGGCACUCUGGGCCGGUACUGACGCUGAGGAGCGAAAGCGUGGGGAGCAAACAGG